rnacentral:lncRNA from 1 species
CUGCCUCUGUGCCAUAUCAUAGGGACUCCGCUGUGGUGGCAAGGAGGAUGUUCACAGAUGCUGAGUCAUUUGAAAAUAGAGACAAUGUUAGGAAUGGGGUGCAAUGAGAAACUCAAGUGCUGGAGAGAAGGCUCAGCGUUAAGAGUCCUGCCUGUUCUUGCAGAGGACCUGGACUUGAUUCCCAGCACCCAUAUGG